rnacentral:rRNA from 1 species
AGAACCCUACGGACGCAGCAGUGGGGAAUAUUGGGCAAUGGGCGCAAGCCUGACCCAGCAACGCCGCGUGAAGGAAGAAGGCCCUCGGGUUGUAAACUUCUUUUAUUCGGGACGAAACAAAUGACGGUACCGAAUGAAUAAGCCACGGCUAACUACGUGCCAGCAGCCGCGGUAAUACGUAGGUGGCAAGCGUUAUCCGGAUUUACUGGGUGUAAAGGGCGUGUAGGCGGGAGAGCAAGUCAGACGUGAAAUUCCAGGGCUCAACCCUGGAACUGCGUUUGAAACUGUUCUU